rnacentral:rRNA from 1 species
AGUGAACGCUGGCGGUAGGCCUAACACAUGCAAGUCGAACGGCAGCACAGUAAGAGCUUGCUCUUACGGGUGGCGAGUGGCGGACGGGUGAGGAAUACAGCGGAAUCUACUUUUUCGUGGGGGAUAACGUAGGGAAACUUACGCUAAUACCGCAUACUACCUACGGGUGAAAGCAGGGGAUCUUCGGACCUUGCGCGAUUGAAUGAGCCGAUGUCGGAUUAGCUAGUUGGCGGGGUAAAGGCCCACCAAGGCGACGAUCCGUAGCUGGUCUGAGAGGAUGGUCAGCCACACUGGAACGGAGACACGGUCCAGACUCCUACGGGAGGCGGCAGUGGGGAAUAGUGGACAAGGGGCGGAAGCCUGAUCCAGCCAUACCGCGUGGGUGAAGAAGGCCUUCGGGUUGUAAAGCCCUUUUGUUGGGAAAGAAAAGCAGCAGGUUAAUACCCCGCUGUUCUGACGGUACCCAAAGAAUAAGCACCGGCUAACUUCGUG